UUNUUUUUUUUUUUUUUUUUUUUUUUUUUGUCUUCUUAUGGCUGUAUGUGCAGCAUAUGGAAGUCCCAGGCUAGGGGUGGAAUUGGAGCUGCAGCUGAGGCCUAUGCCAUAGUCAUGGCAACACCAGAUCCUUAACCCACUGAGUGAGGCCAGAGAUUGAACCUGAAUCCUCACAGAGGCUACAUUGGGUCCUUAACCCUCUGAGCCACAGUGGGGGCUCCAGUAUUUUAUUUUUCUUGAUACUACUGUAAGUAGAAUUGUUUUAAAAUUUCAUUUUCAGAUAUUCAUUGUAUAGAAAUAGAGUUGACUUUUGCAGAUUGAUCUUGUGUCCUGCAACCUUACUGAACACACUUAUUAAUUCCAAUAGAUUUUUUUCCCUAAGAUUUUUAUAUACAAUAUCAUGUCAUCUCUGAACAGACUUAGUUUUACUUCUUCCAUUCCAAUCUGGAUGCCUUUUUUUUUUCCUUGCCUAAUUCCCUGGUUAAAACCUCCUGAUAUUGGGAGAAAGCAUCUAUGAUAGUAGCAGUAGGGCUUUCAAAAAUGGCCUUUAUCAGGUUGAAGAAAUUUUCUUACAGUAUUAGCUUGUUGAGUAUUUUAAUCAUAAAAACAUUUGGACUUUCUCGACUGCCUCUUCUGUCCAUUAAGAUGGUCAUGUGGGUUUUGUUUUUCAUCUCGCUAAUAUGGUGUAUUACGUUGAUGCUCAUAAAUUCUUGGUCUGUGGGUUUGAGAGAAAAUUAGGACUGUAUUCAAAUACUAGGCCUCUAAUCCCUGGCAGGAGGAUGAUAUACACAGUAGGACCAGUGAUUAUUACUGAGGAUAGUUGAUGCCACCCAGUUAAAUCUCUUUAGCUCCAAAGCAGUAAUUCCCUCUGAUUCAUCCCAGACAAAGGACAUCCCUUCUCUGCUUGAAAACCUCUAGUGAUGGGGAACUCACCUUCUAGAAAAGAGAGAAGUGGCAGGCUUGGGAGUGAACUUGAAAGGUUUCAAGCAGAGCUCCCUGGUAGCUCAGUAGGUUGAGGAUCUGAUGUUGUCACUACGCUAGCUCUGGUGGCUGCUGUGGUGUGGGUUCAAUCCCUGGCCUAAGGAACUUCUGCAUGGUGUGGGUACAGCCCCCCAAAAGAAAGGUUCCAGGCAAUCCUUUGACUGAAAAUUGUACCACCUCCUCAAAAUACAGUCAGAGUCUUCUGAUUUGCAUAGGACAAAAACCCAGCUCAAACCAGUUUAAGUGAGAAAUUUAUUAGAAGGUAUCGAGUUUGUCAAAGAAUUGAAGGGAGAGCCCCAGGGAUUAGGACAGCUCAGAAAUCCCACCAAUUGGACAUGGGCGGCCAGCCCCUGUUGGGACCCCACUUCACCUUAGUGCUUCCCGGCAUCCCCUCAUGGCCACCACAGGCUUGGGGAUGACUUCCUGCCAGCUCCAAUUAGAAAAAUCUCUGACUGGCUUGACCUGGGUCAUGUGCCAUCUCUGGGCCAAUCACGGUGGUCAGGGGAAGGAGUUUCUUCCAGGGCCCUCCCCCACUGCCAGGAGCAGGAGACUGUGAUGAGGAGCCACUCCCAGAGGCAGAAUCAGUUGUCACCAGGAGGAUGGCAAGAGGGUGCUGGGCUGAUCCCUGAAUUACCUCACUGCCAGUCUCCCUUAGGGGUUAGUCACUAAAAUUUGGGUUUCAAGUUUAGAUUUUUUUUUUUUUUUUGGGCCACACCUAUAGCAUAUUGAGGUUCCCAGGCUAGGGGUCUAAUCGGAGCUACAGCUGCCAGCUUGUGCCAUAGCCACAGCAACGCAGAAUCCGAGCCACGGCAGCACCGGAUCCUUAACCCACUGAGCAAGGGGGAUCGAACCUGCAACCUCAUGGUUCCUAGUCAGUUUCGUUUCCACUGCGCCACAGCAAGAACUCCUAGAUAUGUUAUUGAGGGACAUUUGAAAGACUCCACCACCUCCGCUAAAACAUCAUUGCAGGUUAAUCUAUCAAAGUCCUGAGCCAUAACACAGAGAAGCCCUAAAGGGCCAGAACCUAGGACAAGACAUAUAUUAGUUUGCUCAGGUUACCGUAACAACGUACCACAGGCUGGGUGGCAUAAACAGCAGAUACUUCCUCACAGCUCUGGAGGCUGGAAGUCCAAGAUGAAGGUACCUGCAGGGUCUGUGUUUUCUGAGGCCUCUCUCCUUGGCAGCUGCCUUCUCCCUGUGUCCUCACAUGGUCUUUACUCUCUGUGUCCUAAUCUCUGCUUUUAUAAGACACCAGUCCAACUAAAUUUGGGCCAACUGCAAUGACCUUGUUUUAACUUCAUUACCUCUUUAAAGACCCUAUUUCCAAACAGUCACAUUCUGCAGUAUUGGAGGUUAGGGCUUCAGCAUAGGAAUUUGGGGGAAUACAAUUCAAUCUAUAAGAGGAAGUUAGAAGAUAUAUGGCAAGUCAUGAUUAUGUUGAGUUGUAUAUGUGUAUAUAUACAUAUAUAUAGUCAUGUAAACCUCAUGGUAACCACAAACCAAAAAUCUAUAAUAAAUAUGCAUACACACAAAAGAGAAAGGAAUCCAAACGUAACACUAAAGAUAGUCACCAAAUUACAAGAGAAUAGAGCAAAAGAAGAAGAACGUAACAAAAAGAACUACAAAAACAACCCAAAUACAAUUUUUUAAAUGGCAAGAUAUGUGCCUACCCAUAAUUACUUUAUGUCAGAGUUCCUGCUGUGGCAGAUGGGUUGAGAAUCCAACUGCAGUGGCUUGGGUCACUGCAGAAGUUCAGGUUUGAUCCCUGGCCUGGCUCAGUGGGUUAAAGUAUCCGGUGUUGUUGCAGCUGUGACAUAGGUCACAGCUGUGGCUCAGAUUCAGUCCCUGGAACUUCCAUAUGCUGUGGAUGUGACCAUAAAAAUUUUUUUUAAUAAUUACUUUAUGUAAAUGGAUUAAAUGUUCCAAUCAAAAGACAUAGAGUGGCUAAAUGGAAACAAAACAAGACCCAUAUAUAUGCUGCUUAUAAAGAUUUCACUUCAGGAGAUCUCUCGUGGCUCAGCAGAAACAAAUAUGACUAGCAUCCAUGAGGACGCAGGUUUGAUUCCUAGCCUCGCUCAUUGGGUUAAGGAUCUGGUGUUGUUGCGAGGUGGUGUAGAUCACAGACAUGGCUCAGAUCCCAUGUUGCUGUGGCAGUGGCAUAGACCGGCAGCUACAGCUCCAACUUGACCCCUAACCUGGGAAUCUCCAUAUGCCGCAGUGUGGCCCUAAAAAAACAAAAGACAAAAAAAAAUUUUUUUCUUCACGUCUAAAGACUGAAAGGGAAUGGAAAAAAGAGAUUCAUUAUUUACAAUUGUCAGGAUAUGGGUGCAGCCCAAGUGCCCAUCAACAUAUGAAUGGAUAAAGAAGAUCACACACACACACACACACACACACACACACACACACACACAUGCUGGAAUAUUAUUCAGCCAUAAAAAAGAAUGAAAUCCUGUCAUUUCAACAACAUGGAUGCACCUUGAAGACAUUAUGCUAAGUGAAAAUAAGUCAGAGCAAAAACAAAUACUGUAUGAUCUCACAUGUUGAAACAAAAAACAAAACAAAUGAGCAAUGAUAACUAAACAAACAGAGUCAUAUAUACAGAGGACGAACAGGUGGUUGCCAGAGAGUAGGGGGAUGGGGAGGGAGGGAAGUAGGUGAGGAAGAUUAGGAGGUGCAAACUUACAGUUACAAAAUAAAUGAGUCAUGGGUAUGAAAUGUACAGUAUGGAGAAUACAGCCUGCUGUGGCCUCCUUUGCCUGGCAAAGCAGUAAAUCUAUUUUUUUCUCCUUCGUCCCAAACUCUGUCUCCGUAUUUCUAUUUAGCACCGGUGGACAGAGGCCAAGUUUCGGCAACAGCCUUCCUGUCUGCGUUAUUCAUACCCAUUAGGAUUGCAAUGGGUUGCAUGUAACAAAACAACAUCACAGAAACAACAACAUUGACUAUCUCAGGCAUGACUUUCAUGGUGGGAACCACAGGCCAAAUAGAAGGAGGACAGGCAGACUGCAGGAGCAGUUGAUGUAGGUGAAGAUGGCUUGCUUCUACCUUCAUGUGUUUUUCACAGCUCUGGCAGGUCAAAUUAAAACUGGCCCCUUCAGAGUUCCCGUCAUGGCUCAGCAGAAACAAAUCUGACUAGUAUCCGCGAGAAUGCAGGUUCGAUCGCUGGCCUCAAUCAGUGGAUUAAGGAUCCAGCAUGGCCAUGAGCUGUGGUGUACGUCGCAGAUGCAGCUUGGGUCUGGCGUUGCUGUGACUGUGGGGUAGGCCAGCGGUUUAGGCUACACCAAUUCAGCCCCUAGCCUGAGAGCCUCCAUAUGCUGUGGGUGUGGCCCUAAAAAAAAAAAAAAAAAAAAAAAAAAAAAAGACCUUGCCCCUUCACUCGACUGUUUUCCUUCAUGACUCUUAUCAUCACCCAGGUCUUACCUGUCCUGGUUACCUCUGUACUCCCCAGUUUCUAGAACAGUGCCUAGUAUAUCAUGGGUGCUUAGUAAAUAUUUGUUAAGUAGGAGUUCCCAUCAUGGCUUAGUGGGUUAAGAACCCAACUCGUAUUCAUGAGGAUGCAGGUUCCAUCCCUGGCCUUGCUCAGUGGGUUAAGGAUCCAGUGUUAAUGCAAGAUGCGGUGUAUGUCACAGAUGCUGCUUGGAUCUGCUGUUGCUGUGGCUGUGGUGUAGGCUGGCAGCUGCAGCUCCGAUUCGACCCCUUGCCCGGGAACUUCCAUAUACCACAGAUGCAGCUGUAAAAAGAAAAAAAAAAUUGUUAAGGAGUUCCCGUCAUGGCUCAGCGGGUUAUGAACCCGACUAGUAUCUGUGAGGAUCUGGAUUCAAUCCCUGGCCUUGCUCAGUGAGUUAAGGAUCUGAUGUUGCCGUGAGCUAUGGUGUAGAUUGCAGACANGCUCAUAUCUGGCAUUGCUGUGGCCGUGGUGUAGACCAGGAGCUUCAGCUCUGAUUCGACCAUGGCCUGGGAACUUCCAUAUGCUUCAGGUGUGACCCUAAAA
rnacentral:lncRNA from 1 species